AGAGUUUGAUCAUGGCUCAGGACGAACGCUGGCGGCGUGCCUAAUACAUGCAAGUCGAGCGGAUCUUCUCCUUCGGGAGAAGGUUAGCGGCGGACGGGUGAGUAACACGUAGGCAACCUGCCCCUAAGAUCGGGAUAACAUUCGGAAACGAAUGCUAAGACCGGAUACACAAGUUGGUCGCAUGACCGGCUUGGGAAACA
rnacentral:rRNA from 1 species